AUGGCGUCUUCGACGUCCACCCUAGAGAUCGAGGCUCGCGACGUGGUGAAGAUAAUGCUGCAGUUCUGCAAGGAAAACUCGCUUCAUCAGACGUUCCAGACCCUGCAGAACGAGUGCCAGGUCUCGCUCAACACGGUGGACAGCAUGGACACCUUCAUUGCCGACAUUAAUGCUGGGCGCUGGGAUGCCGUGCUGCCGCAGGUUGCCCAGCUGAAGCUGCCGCGCAAGAAGCUCGAGGACCUCUACGAGCAGAUUGUGCUGGAGAUGGCAGAGCUCCGUGAGCUUGACACGGCCCGUGCAAUCCUUCGCCAGACACAAGUGAUGGGGGUCAUGAAACAGGAGGAACCCGAACGAUACCUCCGACUAGAGCACCUCCUUGUCCGGACAUACUUUGACCCGAAUGAGGCUUACCAAGAAUCUACCAAGGAAAAGCGACGUGCGCAGAUUGCCCAAGCAAUUGCUUCUGAAGUUUCAGUAGUCCCACCAGCUCGGCUAAUGGCACUGAUUACCCAGGCUUUGAAAUGGCAACAGCACCAAGGUUUGUUACCCCCUGGCACACAGUUUGAUUUGUUCAGAGGAACCGCUGCAAUGAAGCAAGACGAAGAAGAGGCAUAUCCUACUACUUUGUCACAUCAAAUAAAGUUCGGGAAGAAAACCCACCCUGAGUGUGCUCGAUUCUCACCCGAUGGCCAGUACCUUGUUUCAUGCUCAGUGGAUGGAAUCAUCGAAGUCUGGGAUUAUGUCAGCGGCAAGCUGAAAAAGGAUCUUCAAUAUCAAGCCGAUGAAAGCUUUAUGAUGCAUGAGGAUGCUGUGCUCUGUGUUGAUUUUAGUAGAGAUUCUGAGAUGCUGGCAUCUGGAUCACAGGAUGGAAAAAUUAAGGUUUGGCGUAUACGAACUGGCCAGUGCUUGCGACGCCUCGAGCGUUCACACGCGAAAGGUGUUACAAGUGUUACAUUUUCACGUGAUGGAACUCAGAUACUGAGUACCUCUUUUGACACUACUGCAAGAAUCCAUGGCCUUAAGUCCGGGAAGAUGCUAAAAGAAUUUCGCGGUCAUGACUCCUACGUGAACUAUGCCAUCUUUUCUACUGAUGGCACCCGUGUUAUCACAGCUUCCAGUGACUGUACUGUUAAGGUAUGGGAUGCGAAAACAGCAGACUGUUUGCAAUCAUUCAAGCCUCCUCCUCCUCUGAGGGGAGGAGAUGCAUCUGUUAACUCUGUCCAUUUGUUUCCAAAGAAUAGUGAUCACAUUGUUGUCUGCAAUAAGACUUCGUCAAUAUACAUCAUGACUUUACAAGGACAGGUUGUAAAGAGCUUCUCAUCUGGUAAACGGGAAGGAGGAGAUUUUGUUGCAGCUUCUGUUUCACCAAAAGGAGAAUGGAUAUAUUGUGUUGGUGAAGACAUGAACAUGUAUUGCUUUAGCCAACAGUCCGGUAAACUUGAGCAUCUAAUGAAGGCCCAUGACAAGGAUGUGAUUGGCAUUACUCACCACCCUCACAGGAACUUGGUUGCCACCUAUGCCGAAGAUUGUAUGAUGAAGAUAUGGAAGCCUUAA
rnacentral:rRNA from 1 species